rnacentral:rRNA from 1 species
UACGUAGGGUGCGAGCGUUGUCCGGAAUUACUGGGCGUAAAGAGCUCGUAGGUGGUUUGUCGCGUUGUCCGUGAAAACUCACAGCUUAACUGUGGGCGUGCGGGCGAUACGGGCAGACUGGAGUACUGCAGGGGAGACUGGAAUUCCUGGUGUAGCGGUGGAAUGCGCAGAUAUCAGGAGGAACACCGGUGGCGAAGGCGGGUCUCUGGGCAGUAACUGACGCUGAGGAGCGGAAAGCGUGGGGAGCGAACAGG